AAAAAAGUCUAUAAUUUUGUGAAUUAUAUAAAUGUAAAUUAAAUUUUAAUUGCAUGAAAAUAUAAUAACUUAUCAUCAAUAAACUAACCAUACCCAUCGACAAACGUAUAAUGUCGGACCUGGAGUUGGAAGAGCAACUUGCGGAAUCCUCGGGAGCACCCAAAGAGCUCUGAAGUAGAAAAUAUUUAUUCUAAUUCUUCAGUUAAACAGGGAAAUGUUUAUCGGAAAGCUAAAACAUUUGAAGAUAAGGGCAUUUCUUAAGCUGUGGGUAACUAAUAUUGUUAAUAUUCAAAAUAUAGAAAUAUCUACUGAAGCGCCCAGUGAAGCGUCAGAGCAGCACCUAAAGCGCCGCCUAUUUUUGUGGAUAACAUCAAUAACAUCAUGAACAUGUUAUCCGUGAUUGAGAUACUUACAAAACAGGCAGGGACUGUAAGCCCAGCACCAACAAUAAAAAUAUACUCAAUAUCAAAUAGCUCUGUCGUGCUGUUGUAAGUUUGGUGAUUUUGUCAAGUGUUAUAUGCCAAGAGUUCGGACUCACGCAGAGAUUCUGCAAUAAAUCUUUUAGAUGUGUUAAAUGUGCACAAAACCACCAAACAUCCGACUGCACUAAAAGGGAAGCCGCUGCCUGUUGUACUCACUGUGGAGAAGAACUGGUAAUCAAAAUGAAUCUCGGUCUGCUUCACCAAGUCAACUUAUUUCUCACAAAUAAUUGAUCAACUCAAGACGUCAAUUAACCAGUGCAAAAUACAAACUAAUGAAAUCGAACCAUUCAAGUGGGAAUGUAAGAGGCGGGGCUACAGUUUUUAUGAAAUCUGGUAUUUCGGACACGAAACUUGAAUCAAUUCAGCACAGGCAGUGGUCAUACCUUAUACUUUCCUCCGCAACACAACCUAUCCCAAGUAUUGUAUGUGCCGAUUAUGGACCACUUUGGAAACAAAAUCAUUGUUGAUGGUGAUUAUAAUACCAAAAACACCUGGUGGAGCUCAUCACUCACAAAUAACAAAGGCAGAGCACUUUUGAACUGUAUUUGAAAUAAAGACUUGACCAUCUGACCUCACGGAAAUUCUAGACGUUCUUAAUUUUUCUAUAUCGAAAGAUUUUAACUAAAGACAUAUUCGCACUUCCCCCUGCUCGAGGUAAAUACACCGGUCUUCGCAAUGAACAAACCCACAAGUGUUCUUGGCAAAGAGGUAAAUAUUUUAAAAUACCGUACAUGGCUAGAGAACAAAGUGGACCACAAUAUCACCAUUUGCUUUGAGGCAUAUAUAGACUAUGCUGCGGAAGUCCUGACCAGAAGCAACCACAAGCGAGACAGGUGUGUCUGGUCCAAUGAAGUAAUAUCAAAGCUGAGAGAGAAGAGACGUCUUCGGCAUGCAUGGCAAAUUAGCCAACACAGCUGAGGUUCUCUGGAAACUGCGCAACAAGAGACGUAUUUGGUUGCUGCCAAACCAGAAGAUCCAGAAGACAGUCUUUGGAAUGCGACUAGACAAAACAAAAAGUCUAUAUCCAGAUGCCCACCAGUUAUCAACAGCAGAGGUCUCUGGUGCCGAACUCAUGCAGAAAAAGCAGAUGAGUUUGACACAUAUCUCCAAAACACCUUUACUCCUAACGAGUGAAAUAGAUGCUGUACAGUAGGGAUCAAAUCGUUGGCAAACAAAAAAUCACCUAAUUAUGACAGAAUUAAUGCACAAGCCUUUAAAGCGCUUUAAAGAGCAUCCAGGAAAUUUAAUCUUCAAACCUGAGCAUCUGGUUAAUUCAUAUUGACCGAUUAGCCUUCUUGUACAAUAAUUAUUUCGAAAAUAUUUAAAGGAAUAUUUUUGCGCAGACUUUUGCCUCUGUUGUAGGAGAAACAACUCGUCCCAGCUCACCAGUUUGACUUCCGAAAGUUUCAUGACACAAUUGAGCAAUGCCACAAGGUAGAACACUGUAUAACUGAUGCUAUGGAAAAUUCUAAAUACUGUUCUGCUGUUUUUCUUGAUGUCCGUCAAGCAAUUGACAAGGUCUGGCACCUAGGCCUAUUAUAUAAGUUUAAAAAAAACUUCCUUUGCCUUACCUGCUGCUAAAGUCUUACUUGCAUAAUCGGACGUUCUACGUCAGGUGUCGUGAUGGUGAGUCGGAUCUGAGACCCAUAUGCGCUGGUGUACCUAAAGGCAGCGUUCUUGUGCCUAUGCUCUACAUUUUUUCAACGACUGACUUCCCAGUAAUUGACUCUGACUCAACAAUUUUGGCAACCUAUGCGAAUGACACUACACUGCUGGCGUCAAGUAGCAAUUCUACAGCUGCCUCCAUGAAUCUGCAAAAGCAAUUGACUGCUCUAGAACCGUGGCUCACCAAAUGGAACAUUGGCAUUAAUACUGAAAAGUCCAUACAAGUGGUGUAUACCCUCAGGUACGAAAUAUGUCCUCAAGUGGUCUUAUAGGGACAGUUGCUACCAACAAGCGCAAGCGUAAAAUAUCUGGGACUUACAAUUGAUUAUAGUCGUACAUGGAGAGACCACGUGAAAAUUAAAAGAACCCAGCUCAGGUAAAGGUUUGCGUAGCUGUACUGGUUGCUAAGGUCAGGACGCCGUCUCAGUUUCAAGAAUAAGCUACUCAUAUAUCAAAGCAAUACUCAGACCUAUCUGUUCGUAUGGAAUUCAAAUCUGUGGAAGCUCAGCUGAUUCAAAUUUUAAAGUUUUUCAAGCAUUUUAAAAAGUAGUCUUCGAACUAUACCGGGUGCACCUUUUUAGAAUAUAUUAGAAAUGACUUAAAAAUGCUCACUAUAAAAGAACUAUAGAAGAAUUUAGUACUUGUAACCUUUCUUGUUUGGAGAACCAUGAUAACGUACUUGCGAUCCAACUGUUGGAUAUUAGUGAACAAUAUAGAGUAGACUAAAAAGAUAUCAUCCGUUUGAUCUCCUCUUUCGAUUCAAUUGAUUUCACCUUAAUUUUUGUAAAACAUUGUUCAUUAUACUUCAACAUCAUUGUUUUGCUCAGCAAAUUUAGUUAUUGACAUUUUAUUAAUUAGAUAUAUUCUAAAUAACACUGAAUAUUAUACAAAAAAAAAGAUUUCUAUCCAUAAGAAUGUGUCCGAAUCAUGAUCCGAAUAGAUUGUAAAACAUCCAAAAUCAUCCAAAUGUAAACAAGAACUUCAUACAAAAAACAUAAAAAAGGGUUUUUUGUAAUAUGGAUGGAUGGAAAAUGUAGCGAAAGGAUUCAACUUCAUUGUUCAACGAUGAUAUGUGAUAUGAACUCAACCGAAGAGAUUAAUAUUUUAAUAUAUUAAGUUUAUGUGAAAAACGUCAACAAAAGUAUCGGAAUUUAUUAUAUUAGGGGCACUAAAUAACACACAUUUUGACCAACCUAAACGUUUUAAAGUCAGGUGAAAAGUCGGAAAUCAUUUUAUAAGAAAUUAUUGGGGAAGAGAAACAAAACGUCUGACUGCCUUAGUUUUUGGCAUUGCUCAGCUAAACUACAAGUAUAUCAAGUGCACUUAUUUUCAAGCAAAAAUUUUAUAAAUAUAUAUAUAAAUACAUAUAAACAUACAUAUGGAGUAAAGUCAGCCGAAAGUUUUAAAAUCCUGAAUAUCAAUUGCACGGGGGCUAUGGCAAGUUUUCACCCUAUUUUAUCCAUUUUUGGUACAAAUAUACACUGUUAUUAGAAUAAUAUGCUCUCUCAAUGUCAUUAAAAUUACUCUCACAUUGGCUGAUAUAUGUGGUAUGCAGUCAACUGGAAGUUUGAAAAUCUUUUUAUUAGGUAAAUGGGAGCUAAGAGAUGUAUUGACCCGAUGCAAUACGCUUUUGACAUGAGGGUAUAUUACUAACAAAGAAAUAUUUACUUCGAAUUUCAAUAAUAUAUCUCACAUAUUGACCGAUAUU